rnacentral:rRNA from 1 species
AUACGUAGGGUGCGAGCGUUAAUCGGAAUUACUGGGCGUAAAGCGUGCGCAGGCGGUUUUGUAAGACAGUGGUGAAAUCCCCGGGCUCAACCUGGGAACUGCCAUUGUGACUGCAAGGCUGGAGUGCGGCAGAGGGGGAUGGAAUUCCGCGUGUAGCAGUGAAAUGCGUAGAUAUGCGGAGGAACACCGAUGGCGAAGGCAAUCCCCUGGGCCUGCACUGACGCUCAUGCACGAAAGCGUGGGGAGCAAACAGGAUUAGAUACCCUGGUAGUCCACGCCCUAAACGACGUCAACUGGUUGUUGGGAAUUUAUUUUCUCAGUAACGAAGCUAACGCGUGAAGUUGACCGCCUGGGGAGUACGGCCGCAAGGUUGAAACUCAAAUGAAUUGACGGGG